UUCGCAAUGCCCGAAAGGGUGACGAUGCGACGCCGCGUGAGCGAAGAAGGCCCUAGGGUUGUAAAGCUCUGUCGAGGGUUAUGAAAUAUAGAUGGGUUAAUACCCCAUUUAUUUGACAAAAGCCCAAAAGGAAGCCACGGCUAACUCUGUGCCAGCAGCCGCGGUAAUACAGAGGUGGCAAGCGUUGUUCGGUAUUAUUGGGCGUAAAGAGCACGUAGGUGGUUUUAUAAGUCAGGUGUGAAAGCCUUCUGUUCAAAGGAAGAACGGCAUCUGAAACUGUAGAUCUUGAGUGUAGGAGGGGAGAGUGGAACUUCUGGUGGAGCGGUGAAAUGCGUAGAUAUCAGAAGGAACGUCGGCGGCGAAAGCGACUCUCUGGCCUAUUACUGACACUGAGGUGCGAAAGUUAGGGGAGCAAACGGGAUUAGAUACCCCGGUAGUCCUAACCGUAAACGAUGGGCACUAAGUAGAGGGGUUUU
rnacentral:rRNA from 1 species